UUCUCCCUACGUGGGGCUGAGGUCUCAGUGGAAGACAGAACUGUGCAUGAGAAGAUGAAACUGCUGGGUCAUCUCCUGUGUUGGGUGAUUGCCACCCAGGGUGUCCUGACCCAGGUGCAACUGCAAGAGUGGGGCACAGAACUGUUGAAGCCCUCACAGACACUCUCCCUUACCUGUGCUGUGUAUGGUUACUCCAUCACCAGUGGUUACUGCUGGAACUGGAUCCGCCAGCCCCCAGGGAAGGGGCUGGAGUGGAUCGGGCGCAUAUGUAGUGAUGAGAACACCUACUACAGCCCAUCCCUCAAGAGCCGCACCUCAAUCUCUAGAGACACGUCCAAGAACCAAUUCUCCUUGCAGCUGAGCUCUGUGGUCACCGAGGACACAGCUGUGUAUUACUGCACCAGAGACACAGUGAGAGGAA